rnacentral:tRNA from 1 species
GCCCGGAUGGCGAAACAGGUAGACGCAUCGGACUUAAAAUCCGCCGGCCGCAAGGCCAUCCCGGUUCGAUUCCGGGUCCGGGCACCA